rnacentral:RNase_P_RNA from 3 species
UGAGUUCGCCGGACAGUCGUCGCUGCGCUUGCGCAGGGGAGGAAAGUCCGGGCUCCAUAGGGCGGAGUGCCAGAUAACGUCUGGGCGGCGCAAGCCGACGGCCAGUGCAACAGAGAGUAGACCGCCUAAGCAUGGAGUUCUUCGGAGCUGCAUGACGGUAAGGGUGAAAGGGUGCGGUAAGAGCGCACCGCGUGGGUGGCAACAUUCCACGGCACGGUAAACCCCACUCGGAGCAAGACCAAAUAGGGACCCACUAGGCGCGGCCCGCGCUGGGUCCGGGUAGGUCGCUAAAGGUGUAUGGUGACAUGCAUCGUAGAUGAAUGACUGUCCUCGACAGAACCCGGCUUACAGGCGAGCUCAUCCA